UGGCUCAGACGGUAAAGCGUCUGCCUACAAUGCAGGAAACCCAGGUUCAAUCCCUGG
rnacentral:tRNA from 1 species